rnacentral:misc_RNA from 1 species
GAUGAAGAACGUAGCGAAAUGCGAUAAGUAAUGUGAAUUGCAGAAUUCAGUGAAUCAUCGAAUCUUUGAACGCACAUUGCGCCCGCCAGUAUUCUGGCGGGCAUGCCUGUUCGAGCGUCAUUUCAACCAUCAAGCCCCCGGCUUGUGUUGGGGACCUGCGGCUGCCGCAGGCCCUGAAAACCAGUGGCGGGCUCGCUAGUCACUCCGAGCGUAGUAAUACAUCUCGCUCAGGGCGUGCUGCGGGUUCCGGCCGUUAAAAGCCUUAUUUUACCCAAGGUUGACCUCGGAUCAGGUAGGAAGACCCGCUGAACUUAAGCAUAUCAAUAAGCGGAGGG